rnacentral:rRNA from 1 species
AACGAACGCUGGCGGCAGGCUUAACACAUGCAAGUCCAACGCCCCGCAAGGGGAGUGGCAGACGGGUGAGUAACGCGUGGGAACAUACCCUUUUCUACGGAAUAGCUCUGGGAAACUGGAAUUAAUACCGUAUACGCCCUACGGGGGAAAGAUUUAUCGGGGAAGGAUUGGCCCGCGUUGGAUUAGCUAGUUGGUGGGGUAAAGGCCUACCAAGGCGACGAUCCAUAGCUGGUCUGAGAGGAUGAUCAGCCACAUUGGGACUGAGACACGGCCCAAACUCCUACGGGAGGCAGCAGUGGGGAAUAUUGGACAAUGGGCGCAAGCCUGAUCCAGCCAUGCCGCGUGAGUGAUGAAGGCCUUAGGGUUGUAAAGCUCUUUCACCGAUGAAGAUAAUGACGGUAGUCGGAGAAGAAGCCCCGGCUAACUUCGUG